rnacentral:rRNA from 1 species
GCGCGAAAACUUUACAAUGCUGGCAACAGCGAUAAGGGAACCUCGAGUGCCAGGUUACAAAUCUGGCUGUCGAGAUGCCUAACAAGCAUUGCAUAGCAAGGGCCGGGCAAGACCGUUGCCAGCCGCCGCGGUAACACCGGCGGCCCGAGUGGUAACCGUUAUUAUUGGGUCUAAAGGGUCUGUAGCCGGCCGGAUAAGUCUCUUGGGAAAUCCAGCAGCUCAACUGUUGGGCUUUCAGGAUGUACUGUUCGGCUCGAGGCCGUGAGAGGUGAGAGGUACUUCAGGGGUAGGGGUGAGAUCUUGUAAUCCUUGAAGGAGCACCAGUGGCGAAGGCGUGUCACCAGAACGGACCUGACGGCAAGGGACGAAAGCUAGGGGCACGAACC